CUUCAAGUAUCAAAGAAACUAUCCCGUGAUCACAGAACUAUCCAACGAUUUGUGAUCAAUGUAAACCAUAAAAGGAAAAGGAGUGACAAAGGUGUGCGGCGAAAAUUGUCAAGACGCAAAGUUGCUGCCAUAAAGCGGAGGCUGCACCUUUUAUUAACAAGCAAACAGCUACUUGGGACGGCUGGAGUAGGUGAAGUCCCCAGAACCUCCCGCUGUCGUAUACGUCAGACCGUUGCAAAAGUUGUAAAGCGGAAUAUUCAUCCACCUCAGACACAAGACCAAGACCAAGCGAGUUGAGACCUAUCAGACACAAGACCAAGCGAGUUGAAUGGGCCAUGCAGGCAGUAUAUGUAAGUAUAUUCCCAGACUAUUCUAUUCACGGAUGAAUGCAAAGCAACUUUAGAUGGGUCCGAUGCGAUGGGUGGUGCAGCGGUUGGCUUGUGAAUGGUACCACGAAACCAUCAAGAGCAAAUAUAUACGGCAGCAAGGUGGAGGCAGCGUGAUGUUUUGGGCUGCAUUAAUUAAUUGGC